UACGUAGGCAGCGAGCGUUGUUCGGAGUUACUGGGCGUAAAGGGUGCGUAGGCGGUUGUUUAAGUUUGGUGUGAAAUCUCCCGGCUCAACUGGGAGGGUGCGCCGAAUACUGAAUGACUAGAGUGCGGGAGAGGAGAGUGGAAUUCCUGGUGUAGCGGUGAAAUGCGUAGAUAUCAGGAGGAACACCAGUGGCGAAAGCGGCUUCCUGGUCCGACACCGACGUUCAGGCACGAAAGCGUGGGGAGCAAACAGG
rnacentral:rRNA from 1 species